rnacentral:rRNA from 1 species
GUAGUCCACGCCGUAAACGGUGGGUACUAGGUGUGGGUUUCCUUCCUUGGGAUCCGUGCCGUAGCUAACGCAUUAAGUACCCCGCCUGGGGAGUACGGCCGCAAGGCUAAAACUCAAAGAAAUUGACGGGGGCCCGCACAAGCGGCGGAGCAUGUGGAUUAAUUCGAUGCAACGCGAAGAACCUUACCUGGGUUUGACAUGCACAGGACGCCGGCAGAGAUGUCGGUCCCCUUGUGGCCUGUGUGCAGGUGGUGCAUGGCUGUCGUCAGCUCGUGUCGUGAGAUGUUGGGUUAAGUCCCGCAACGAGCGCAACCCUUGUCCUAUGUUGCCAGCGGGUUAUGCCGGGGACUCGUAGGAGACUGCCGGGGUCAACUCGGAGGAAGGUGGGGAUGACGUCAAGUCAUCAUGCCCCUUAUGUCCAGGGCUUCACACAUGCUACGAUGGCCGGUACAAAGGGCUGCGAUGCCGUGAGGUGGAGCGAAUCCUUUCAAAGCCGGUCUCAGUUCGGAUCGGGGUCUGCAACUCGACCCCGUGAAGUCGGAGUCGCUAGUAAUCGCAGAUCAGCAACGCUGCGGUGAAUACGUUCCCGGGCCUUGUACACACCGCCCGUCACGUCAUGAAAGUCGGUAACACCCGAAGCCGGUGGCCUAACCCCUUGUGGGAGGGAGCCGUCGAAGGUGGGAUCGGCGAUUGGGACG